rnacentral:lncRNA from 1 species
GUGUGAUUUCUAUCAAUUUAAUGAUGAUUAAGAGUUGAAAAGGAUUGUUGUCAAAAUCUUACAUUUCACACUUGUGAAAUCUGUACAGACAAAAUAGUUUCAUUGAUUUUUUUUCCUCUAAAACUGGGGACCACUUAGAGAGGCCCCAUAUCUAUGGAUCAGAUGUUCUCUGGCUCAUAAGGACAGACUGAUUUACUUGAGGUAGGAUGACAUUUCCUCUCUUGUCUUUCUCCAGUUGGCCUUCCUGAGGCCUGGCGCUUUGGAGUGGAGGAUAAAACGAAAAAGUCUCUGGCGAUGCCACUGAAGGUGGAGGAGGAGACUGAGCCCGUUACCGUAGCAACACAGGCCAAUGGUUCUCCGUCCGUCCUCCGUCUGUCCAUCCAUCCACCCACAAAUGAGUUUUGUCCAUGACAAAAACUCAGACGUGAACGAAAGAAAGUAGGUGCUUUUGCGGAGCAUCUGUUCCAGUGCAGAAAAGGCAUCAAACAACUAAAUAAACAUAAACAUAAUAGAAGUCCAGACAGAGAUAAGGGCUUGGAGGAAAGUAAAGCAGGGAAAGCGGGGAGAGAGUAAGGCAUAUUUUGCCUAGUGUGGCCACAGGGGCUUAUCUGAGGCUCUGCAGAGUGGUUAAUCUAAUUGCAUUAGACUCAAAGCUCCCAAGUCUAGACCCCACUCUCAGUGGACUUCUUUCUUCUCGUUCCCCUUCUCCCACAGGAUCUGACGGUAGCCAAUGACCC